CCCACACCUAUGUAUGUAGGACCCCAAAAUAUCACCAUUAAAUUUGGCACAGAUCUCUAGAGAAGUUGUCACAUGGGUGUGGGUUUUGACUUUUCUAGAGAUCUGUGCCACAUUUAAUGGUGAUCGUUUGGGGUCCUACACACAUGGGUGUGGG
rnacentral:pre_miRNA from 1 species